CGCGGCCUAUCAGCUUGUUGGUGGGGUAACGGCCCACCAAGGCGACGACGGGUAGCCGGCCUGAGAGGGCGACCGGCCACACUGGGACUGAGACACGGCCCAGACUCCUACGGGAGGCAGCAGUGGGGAAUAUUGCGCAAUGGGCGAAAGCCUGACGCAGCGACGCAGCGUGAGGGACGAAGGCCUUCGGGUUGUAAACCUCUUUCAGCGGGGACGAAGCGAAAGUGACGGUACACGCAGAAGAAGCACCGGCUAACUACGUGCCAGCAGCCGCGGUAAUACGUAGGGUGCAAGCAUCGUCCGGAUUUAUUGGGCGUAAAGAGCUCGUAGGCGGCUUGUCACGUCGGGUGUGAAAACUCGGGGCUCAACCCCGAGCCUGCACUCGAUACGGGCUAGCUAGAGUGUUGCAGGGGAGACUGGAAUUCCUGGUGUAGCGGUGAAAUGCGCAGAUAUCAGGAGGAACACCGACGGCGAAGGCGGGUCUCUGGGCAACUACUGACGCUGAGGAGCGAAAGCGUGGGGAGCGAACAGGAUUAGAUACCCUGGUAGUCCACGCCGUAAACGGUGGGCGCUAGGUGUGGGGAACCUUCCACGUUCUCUGUGCCGCAGCUAACGCAUUAAGCGCCCCGCCUGGGGAGUACGG
rnacentral:rRNA from 1 species